CGUAGCUUAACACAUGCAAGUCGAGCGACAAAGCGUCCUUCGGGAGUGGAGUUAGCGGCGGACGGGUGAGUAACACGUGGGUAACCUGCCUAUAGAGGGGGAUAGCCUUCCGAAAGGAAGAUUAAUACCGCAUAAGAAGUAGAAGUCGCAUGGCUUUAGCUUAAAGGAGCAAUCCGCUAUAAGAUGGACCCGCGGCGCAUUAGCUAGUUGGUGAGGUAACGGCUCACCAAGGCGACGAUGCGUAGCCGACCUGAGAGGGUGAUCGGCCACAUUGGAACUGAGACACGGUCCAGACUCCUACGGGAGGCAGCAGUGGGGAAUAUUGCACAAUGGGCGAAAGCCUGAUGCAGCAACGCCGCGUGGGUGAUGAAGGUUUUCGGAUCGUAAAGCCCUGUCUUUUGGGACGAUAAUGACGGUACCAAAGGAGGAAGCCACGGCUAACUACGUG
rnacentral:rRNA from 1 species